CCCUUGGAUAGCAGGGAGGUGCUGGA
rnacentral:piRNA from 1 species